AGAAUUGUUCAUAGAACAAUCUUUCCAGUCGAGUCCAAUCAUGGAUGGAAUUUGCUGGCAACAUGGUGAACCACGUAGAGGCAUUCUUUUUAAGGGAGCUUGAGAAGUAUUUAAUCCUUAGGUUCUCAUUAUUAUCAAUUUCCCCUGCUUCAAUUAGGUACCUCUCCACAUGUUCGACAAUGGACUCAUUAGUGUCCCGAAAAAACAUAGUAAACUUGGGGACUUUCCACCUAGGGGGUAAUUCUGAUUG
rnacentral:lncRNA from 1 species